CCCCCAGGCGUCACGUGCUGGCAGGAAAAGGACAAAAUGGAUAAUUUGCGAGCUCAAAUACUAGGUGGAGCCAAUACACCUUAUGAGAAAGGUAUUUUCACACUGGAAGUUAUCGUUCCUGAAAGUCUUCAGAAUUUAAAUAUAACAAGAUCGCUUUUGUCAAGAAAGCAAGACAGUGGACAGAGACUCAUGCAAGACAGAAACAAAAGGCUGGUGAAGAGGAGGUAGGCAUCUCAUCGGAGGUUGGUGACUCUGAGGAAAGCCACUCCACACAGAAAAGGAAGGCCAGGCCACUAGGAGGAAUGCAAAAGAGGUUUUCUCCUGAUGUUCAGAGAGUCUGUCCUGGUCCCUCUUAGUUACUGGCAGUCUGUGUCAAGGUGGUCUCCUUGCUUGCUUCUUUUCAAUGUUUUUCUUUGUGUUUGAUGACAAAUGUUUGUAUCCUUACAAAAGACCUCGUAUGUUUACGAAUUCUGCCAUGCAGCGAUUCUUUAAGAAUAGUUUGUUUUAUUUAUCUUGUACAUAUGUAUUUAGAAAACUUUUAAACUUGAAAAAUAAAUAAUACUUAAUGUU
rnacentral:lncRNA from 1 species